rnacentral:misc_RNA from 1 species
AGAGUUAAACAGUACGUGAAAUUGUUGAAAGGGAAACGAUUGAAGUCAGUCGUACCGAUGGGUAAUCAGCCUCUCGGGCGUGAUUUUGUGGCUAUGAAGAGACUUUAUGGUCGCUAUCUUUGCGUCUCUGGGGUGUAUUUGCUCGUAUGGUAGGUUAACAUCAAUUUCGGGCGUCAUAAAAUAACGGGAGGAAUGUAGCUUCUUUUUGAAGUGUUAUAGCCUCUGGUAGAUGUGAUGACCGGGAUUGAGGAUUGCAACGGAUACCCUUUGGGCUACCCGCCUGGUCUCUGAUCGUCGCUCUGGUGCCGAAAGCGUGCUUAUGGUAUCAAAGUUUGAAGGUCAAAAGGUUAGAACGGGAUAAAUCCGUUAAGGAUGUUGACGUAAUGACUUUAAACGA